UACGUAGGGUGCGAGCGUUAAUCGGAAUUACUGGGCGUAAAGCGUGCGCAGGCGGUUCGUUGUGUCGGCGGGGAAAGCCCCGGGCUUAACCUGGGAAUGGCCGUUGAAACUGGCGAACUGGAGUGUGGCAGAGGGGGGUGGAAUUCCGCGUGUAGCAGUGAAAUGCGUAGAGAUGCGGAGGAACACCGAUGGCGAAGGCAGCCCCCUGGGCUAACACUGACGCUCAGGCACGAAAGCGUGGGGAGCAAAUAGG
rnacentral:rRNA from 1 species